rnacentral:lncRNA from 1 species
GGGAUAGAUGGUGUGCUUUGUGCUUUUUUCUAUCACCACAUCCUGUUGCGGAGCAGCCACUCUGAGCUCACCUUCGACAUCCUGGGACACGGCAACAGUAACCUCAGACUUCGUCAACACUGCUCUCCGACACUUUGAAGAAAGAGCGAUCAAAAUGGAUGUCUUAAGCUACUUUUUGAAAGCGUCUCUAUGCAGGAGUGAGACCUUUUUCAGUAAAUCCAGAAAGUGGUUUCAUGGUUGCCUUAAGUGCGGAAAAGUACUUGGAAAUGAUUGCACCUUCUGUUGACGGGGGAUCUGCAUCAGGGGCGGGGAAGGAAGUUUACUGGACCACAGGGAUGUUGAAAUUUACCAGCGGUAAACAUGGAAGAGCAUUAACCACAUCCAAACAUCACUGGAUGUUAGGAUCCACGUGGGAAGAUCUAAAGCAUGGGGGAGUGGAGAAGAGUAGAUUUUCACCCUCCUCCCCCCUCAAAAGCCUGGAGGCAUGUUCCCGUGUCCCACAACAUACCGUUCAAGUUUGCUAUUGCUGCCUUUUAUUGUCACUUCGAAGAAAGAGCGAACAGAGUGUGGUUAAUCUCAUGUGUGGGUGGACACACACGCUGCUGCACCGUCGGUGCAAGGCCAGCUCCGCCACGGAAAGCACGUCCCGCUAAGGCUGUCUUUGUGCGUCAUCCGUCUUGAGCGGCGUUACGAAGCAUCGUCCACGGAGGGGGAGCGAAUCAAGGCUGCCCAUGUGAGUCAUGAGCUCUUCAGACAGGAUUAUAUCAGUUCAGAUGCAAUUCAUCUGCUGCUGCUUAUAUCAGCAAAGCUCGGAAAGCACACAGAGAAAGCCAAAGCAAAAGGUAAUUUGGGAAACUUGUUCCUGGUGAAGGACCUUUAUUGAGCCGAUGCCUUCUUCUAAAGCCACUUACAAUAAUUGACUCGUUCACACUGCAGGCUAUUCUGCUGUAUCAGUUCUGAAUAAAUUCCUAGAUCGGGAUACUACGGCA